rnacentral:misc_RNA from 1 species
UCGUCUUCAACGUGGGGACUAAAAACGAAAACGAAAGCGAGAGACGCGAGCCCAGAAAAGCGGAACGACUGGCAGAGCCCGAGGAAUAGACAAGCACAGGAACGCGCACACACGUCCUCUCGGUUCUUUGCCCUUCACUAUUCUGGUGUGGUCUCUCUGCUUGCAUCACAUCCAUUACCCCUUUGCUUGCUCACGGAUUUACACACGCAGACGUACACGAACGAUGCCUCGAAGAGCUCUACUCGGAAACUGGUUUGAGGAGGAAGCGUAUGAGCGAGACCGCCGGCGACUCAUGCAGGGCCGCAGCGGCGGCAUCGUGGAGGCCUCAGCCGAGGUGGCACACAUGAUGGCCAAGAUUCGGCAUCACAACGCCCCUCAUCCUAUCGCGCCGAUCGCAGAGGAUGGGUACUUGCACUUCUACGUCCCGAUGAUGCUCCAAAACGCUCACACGUGCGGCUUUCUUAGCGUGGACCUUGACGACCGCAAGGCCACACCAACAGGGUGGCAGGUAGAAUGCUCCACCGCCCCAGCGGAGGAGGCGACGUCGCGGUGCACCGUGGUGCUUACGCCUGCUGCGAUGCCACAGGUGGAUAGCUUCCCUAUUCCCGAAGAUGAGGCGGACGUGGUGCAUUAUGGUCAGCCAUUCUAUCUGAUGACGGUGCGCGAGCUCUGCGACGAUCCGCUGUUCCUGAUGUCGGAGUUUAUCACGCCGGGGUGCGCGUCGCGGGUGACACAGAAGCUGCAGCACACGUACUUUUCUCCAGACGGCGGCAGCGCGGCGGCCAUGUGGUGCGUCGAGGACGCGAACCCCGCCUACCAGGAGGACAUGCGUGAUCAUCCUGUCAAGGCGGAUGAUGUGAUCCGCAUUCGCCACAACAUGACAGCCGCACCACUGGCGAGCCUGCGGGAAGUCUUCUACAACGAUUUUGGCGCGCAGUUUGAGGUGGGCUGUGGGCGCCUUACGGCGCUAGCAACCAAGAGGCGCGGUGGCCCGCCGGCGCCGGAAAACCUGUGGAUGUUCAUUCACAAUGGCCAAGGACUUCAGCAAGAGUCUGACGAGGGUGCGGUGCGCGGUGAGGAAGAUACUCAGGAGGCCUCGGCGGCACCAUGAGAAGACAAAGAGCAGAGCGACAUGUGCGCGACUGCAGCUUUCUUUGCGCUGGCGUGUCUCUCUCUCCGCGCGUGGGCUGUCCUCUGUGUAUGUGGGUCCCUUCCUCUCUUCACGCAAGCCUCUCUUCCACCGGCUCGUGAUGCUGUCGGCGCCUUCUCCUUCGUCAACUCUACGAUGUAAAAGGAGUUCCCUUCCUUCACUCUCAACGUGCGCAUCUACUCACUUUAUGUGCUGGUGAGCGUGAAGUAUGUUGCAUCGACUUGCAUCGUCGCGUGUGCAUACGCUAGUGCAGGGAACGCCGUUGUUCACGUGCGCAGCCACCCCGCACGCUCUCUAUGCACCCCCACAUGUAAUCGUGCAAGAGCAGCCACACUAGAACCAAAUACACGCACGUCUUCUCCCGCUGGCACACGCAGGUGCCCGUGGCGACGCGCAUUAGACCAUGGCGCAGACAGUGCAUGACCAAACUUGCCGUCGUUAGCGGCCGAGUGCUGAAACGCCCGCCAGAUGCCAGCCGCUCUCUCCCACGCAUGGCUAUCCUUCAGGUCAGCUAAUCCCCACAUUUGCGCAGAGCGCACUUUUGCUUCGCGCCGUCGAGAAGCUUACGUCAACGGCGUCUGCACAGCAUCGUUGAUUUCGCGCCCUUCUUUUCUUUUUUCGGUUUGUGUCCUCAAAGCCUGUCCGCCUUGGACGAUCAUCGGUCUACGCCGUUUGCUACCAUCGCUGCAUUUCUUGAUGGCGACCUACUUCCUUGACCCCCUCCUCCUCCUCCUCCUCCUCCCUCCUCUCUCUGUCGCUCUUCAUCACGCCAUCCACAUCUGCCGUGCCGCCGCUGUCCGAAAAAAAAAACAUAAAACGCACGGAAAG